AGGUUAAUGGGUUACAAGUAUCCUAUAAAAGUAUAGUAAAAUAUUAAAAAAAUAAAUUUUAAAAAAAAGGAAGACGCAUGCCAAAUUUUAAAAAAUGUGUGGAAUUUAAAAAAAAAACUGCUAGUGUACCAAAUACUAACCUUUAAAAUUGGACUAAAAUUUGAGUGAGUAUUUGGUACACUAGCAGAAUGUUUUUUUUUAUUCCACAAGCAACCUUAAAAAGUUGUCAUAUGUCUUCUUCUUUUUAAUAUUUUACUAUACUCUUAUAGGACACUUGUUAACCCCUAACUC
rnacentral:pre_miRNA from 1 species